GUACACGCUGUGACUAGCAUAUCAAUAAGCGGAGGAAAAGAGGGCUAUUACCUACGCUUAGGAUGUUGACACACGCGCGUGCUCGACUCUAUACAUGACUCUGUGCAUAUCAAUAAGCGGAGGAAAAGUCAACUACCUACGCUUAGGAUGUUGACACACGCGCGUGCUCGACUCUAUACAUGACUCUGUGCAUAUCAAUAAGCGGAGGAAAAGGCUGCGGAACUGAACAACCGCUACCUACGCUUAGGAUGUUGACACACGCGCGUGCUCGACUCUAUACAUGACUCUGUGCAUAUCAAUAAGCGGAGGAAAAGCAUAACAUGUAUACCUACGCUUAGGAUGUUGACACACGCGCGUGCUCGACUCUAUACAUGACUCUGUGCAUAUCAAUAAGCGGAGGAAAAGAGGGCUAUUACCUACGCUUAGGAUGUUGACACAUCGCGCGUGCUCGAUGAUAGUCUGUAUACGCUGUGACUAGCAUAUCAAUAAGCGGAGGAAAAGGCGGCGGAGAGUAUUGGUGUGGGCGUACCUACGCUUAGGAUGUUGACGCGCGUGUGUGCGUGAGUCUAUACAUGACUCUGCGCAUAUCAAUAAGCGGAGGAAAAGGGCAGUCUCUUCCAUUGUAUCGGUUACCUACGCUUAGGAUGUUGAUACACGCGCGUGCUCGACUCUAUACAUGACUCUGCGCAUAUCAAUAAGCGGAGGAAAAGGUACCUACGCUUAGGAUGUUGACGCGCGUGUGUGCGUGAGUCUAUACAUGACUCUGUGCAUAUCAAUAAGCGGAGGAAAAGAAACUAACAAGGAUUCCCCUAGUAACGGCGAGUGAAGCGGGAAGAGCUCAAAUUUGAAAUCUUAAAGGGUUUCCCUUUACGAAUUGUAGUUUAAAGAAGUGUUUUCUGUUGAGGUUUUGGUAAAAGUUCUUUGGAAUAGGACAUCAUAGAGGGUGAGAAUCCCGUAUUUGACCUUUACUUUCAACUUUGUGAUACACUUUCAAAGAGUCGGAUUGUUUGGGAAUGCAGUCCAAAAUGGGUGGUAAAUUUCAUCUAAAGCUAAAUAUUGGCGAGAGAUCGAUAGCGAACAAGUACCGUGAGGGAAAGAUGAAAAGAACUUUGAAAAGAGAGUUAAACAGUACGUGAAAUUGUCAAAAGGGAAGCGUUUGACACCAGUGUUGUUUUUCUGAAAAUCAAUUAAAGAACUGUUUAUGCUAAGCUGUUUAGACUUUAUCAGCUAACUGUUUAGUUUUGAGCUUUUCUUUAAUGCACUUUUCAGUUAACAAGUCAACAUCAAUUUCUUUUGCUGUAAAAAAGCUUGAGGAAGGUGGCUUGAGAUUCGUCUUAAGUGUUUAUAGCCUCUUGCCUAUGCAGUCGGAGAGAUUGAGGUCUGCAGCGUAGAUCCUUCGGGGCUAAAUGCAUUUGUGCUAAGUUAUAGCAUUUCUAUAGACAACUUGUUGACUAUGAUUUGUCUUGUAGCUUACUCGCUUAUGUUAUUUUACCUACGCUUAGGAUGUUGAUCUACAGAGCGAGAGU
rnacentral:rRNA from 1 species